rnacentral:rRNA from 1 species
AGAGUUUGAUCCUGGCUCAGGAUGAACGCUGGCGGCGUGCUUAACACAUGCAAGUCGAGCGAGAAAAGUUCUUCGGAGCUUUUCUAGCGGCGGACGGGUGAGUAACACGUGGGCAACCUGCCUCAUAGAGGGGAAUAGCCUUCCGAAAGGAAGAUUAAUACCGCAUAAUAUUGUUGAAAGGCAUCUUUUAACAAUCAAAGGAGCAAUCCGCUAUGAGAUGGGCCCGCGGCGCAUUAGCUAGUUGGUGAGGUAACGGCUCACCAAGGCGACGAUGCGUAGCCGACCUGAGAGGGUGAUCGGCCACAUUGGAACUGAGACACGGUCCAGACUCCUACGGGAGGCAGCAGUGGGGAAUAUUGCACAAUGGGGGAAACCCUGAUGCAGCAACGCCGCGUGAAGGAAGAAGUAUUUCGGUAUGUAAACUUCUAUCGACAGGGAAGAAAGAAAUGACGGUACCUGAAUAAGAAGCCCCGGCUAAUUACGUGCCAGCAGCCGCGGUAAUACGUAAGGGGCAAGCGUUAUCCGGAUUUACUGGGUGUAAAGGGUGAGUAGGCGGCGAGGCAAGUCAUAUGUGAAAUUUCGGGGCUUAACCCCGAAGCUGCAUAAGAAACUGUCUGGCUAGAGUGCAGGAGAGGCAAGCGGAAUUCCAAGUGUAGCGGUGAAAUGCGUAGAUAUUUGGAAGAACACCGGUGGCGAAGGCGGCUUGCUGGACUGUAACUGACGCUGAGUCACGAAAGCGUGGGGAGCGAACAGGAUUAGAUACCCUGGUAGUCCACGCCGUAAACGAUGAGUGCUAGGUGUUGGG